rnacentral:rRNA from 1 species
UUAUGGCUCAGGAUGAACGCUAGCGGCAGGCUUAACACAUGCAAGUCGAGGGGCAGCGGGAUGUAGCAAUACAUUGCCGGCGACCGGCGGAUGGGUGCGUAACGCGUAUGCAACCUACCUAUACAGGGGAAUAACCUUUCGAAAGGGAGACUAACACCCCAUGGUAUUGAUUUAAGGCAUCUUAGAUUAAUUAAAUAUUUAUAGGUAUAAGAUGGGCAUGCGUAUGAUUAGCUAGUUGGUAAGGUAACGGCUUACCAAGGCGACGAUCAUUAGGGGUUCUGAGAGGAAGGUCCCCCCACACUGGUACUGAGACACGGACCAGACUCCUACGGGAGGCAGCAGUGAGGAAUAUUGGUCAAUGGGCGCAAGCCUGAACCAGCCAUGCCGCGUGCAGGAAAGACGGCCUUAUGGGUUGUAAACUGCUUUUACAUAAGACUAACCGUAUAUUUGCGAAUAUACCUGAAUGUAUUAUGAGAAUAAGGAUCGGCUAACUCCGUGCCAGCCGCAGC